GCGUAGGAAUCUACCUAGUAGUACGGAAUAGCCAUUAGAAAUGAUGGGUAAUACUGUAUAAUCCCCGAGGGGGAAAGAUUUAUCGCUAUUAGAUGAGCCUACGUUAGAUUAGCUAGUUGGUGAGGUAAUGGCUUACCAAGGCUAUGAUCUAUAGCUGGUCUGAGAGGACGAUCAGCCACACUGGAACUGAGAUACGGUCCAGACUCCUACGGGAGGCAGCAGUGGGGAAUAUUGGACAAUGGGCGAAAGCCUGAUCCAGCUAUGCCGCGUGAGUGAAGAAGGCCUUCGGGUUGUAAAACUCUUUCAAUAGGGAAGAUAAUGACGGUACCUAUAA
rnacentral:rRNA from 1 species